rnacentral:rRNA from 1 species
UACGUAGGGUGCAAGCGUUAAUCGGAAUUACUGGGCGUAAAGCGUGCGCAGGCGGUGAUGUAAGACAGAUGUGAAAUCCCCGGGCUCAACCUAGGAACUGCAUUUGUGACUGCAUCGCUGGAGUGCGGCAGAGGGGGAUGGAAUUCCGCGUGUAGCAGUGAAAUGCGUAGAUAUGCGGAGGAACACCGAUGGCGAAGGCAAUCCCCUGGGCCUGCACUGACGCUCAUGCACGAAAGCGUGGGGAGCAAACAGG